ACAGAUUACUCAAUUGCUAUUGAAGAUGUCAUGUAAUUUUCGUUAUUAUAUUACAGCAGUUGAUAAACGCUAAGAUAUAGUUUUAAUAUUACAGCACUUUAUAAACGCUGAUAUAAAGUUUUAAUGAGCGGGAACACAAAAUACUUAUUCCGCCAAAUAACACUUAGUCAUUUUCGAGAAAAAAAAACAAACACAAAACAACUUUUCGAAAACCCUAAGAAAGAAAACUCUCUCAGUCCUCAGCCGUAUGUCCGACGAACUCACUAUUCUGGCCACCGAUUAAACCCUCCGUUGCCUCUCCGUCGUCGCCGUGAAAGCUCUCCGUGCAACUGGAACCUCCGCCGGUACUCAAUCUGCUCUAUAUCUGUCCACUUCGAGAUCGAAUCGAAGGCAAGUCAUUUUCUAUGUUGUUUUUUUCUCCUUUGACACUCAAUUCGUUACCCUAGAUCUGUUUCCAUCAAUCUCUGAGACUCAAUAACCGAUGUUUGUGUGAUUUUAGAAUUCGUUACCCUAGAUCUGUUUUCUUUAUCGAUUCUUAAAAUUUUGUCUACUUUGCAUGCCUUUGUUUAUUGCGAAUUCAUAUGAAUUUCGUCUUAGUAAUGGUAACCUGAACUGCUCUAGGUGCUUGUGAACAAUUUUGCAU
rnacentral:sRNA from 1 species